UUGGUGAUGUGGACACCAAGGAACUUUAAACUCUCGACCUGCUCCACUACUGCCCCGUUGAUGUUAAUGGGGGCCUGUUGGGCCCUCCUUUUCCUGUAGUCCACGAUCAGCUCCUUUGCCUUGCAUUGAGGGAGAGGUUGUUGUCCUGGCACCACACUGCCAGGUCUCUGACCUCCUCUCUUAUUGGCUGUCUCAUCGUUGUCGGUGAUCAGGCCUACCACUGUUGUGUCAUCAGCAAACUUAAUGAUGGUGUUGGAGUCAUGCUUGGCCAUGCAGUCGUGGGUGAGCAGGGAGUACAGGAGGGGAGUAAGCACGCACCCCUGAGGGGCCCCAGUGUUAAGGAUUAGGGAGGGUUUCCGGCAUGAUGGUGUUGAUGUGAGCCAUGAACAGACUUUCAAAGCACUUCAUGGCUUCAUACAAUGCUUGUCUUUCAUAAUUUGGUCAGAUAUACUUGGAUGUGUAGUGUCAGUGUUUGUUGUUGAGAUGUCAUGCCUAAGUUUGCUAAUCUUGCCAAUGAAAAAAACAUUAAAGUAGUUGGCAAUAUCAGUUAGUUCUGUGAUGAAUGAGCCAUCUGAUUCAAUGAAUGAUGGAGCUGAGAUUGCAUUUUUCCCAAAAUGUAAUUUAAGGUGCUCCAAAGCUUUUUACUGUAAUUCUUUGUCAUUUAUCUUUGUGUCAUAGUGUAAUUUUUUAUUUUUAUUCAGUUUAGUCACAUGAUUUCUUAAUUUGCAAUAGGUUUGCCAAUUGUGGUUGUGCAGCCAGACUUUAUGUGCCAUUCCUUUUGCCUCAUCCCUCUGAACCAUACAAUUCUUUAAUUCCUCAUCAAUCUACGGGGAUUUAACUUUUUUUUCUUUUUUUUUUUUCUUAAUGGGUUCAUGCUUAUUAGUAACUGGAAUAGUCAAUUUCAUAAAUGUGUCAAGUGCAGUGUCUGCUCCUCAUUACACACCACGGACCAACACAUAUUCUUUACAUCAACAACAGGAAUCCCUACAAAACUUAUUGUAUGACCUCUUAUACAUUAUAUUAGGCCCAAUCUUUGGAACUGGUUUCCCUAGAUAUGGCUACUAUAUUGGGAUCACUACAUCCAAUGGAUCUGGAUACGGCUUUAAAGCUAAUUUCUGCUGCAUUUUAGUAAAGAUGUGAUCAAAGGGGAAUUAGGGUUAAGGUUAGAAUUAGGGUUAAGGUUAGGAGCUAGGGUUCGUUUCAGGGUUAGGAGCCGGGGUUAAGGUUAGAAUUAGGGUUAAGGUUAGGAGCUAGGGUUCGUUUCAGGGUUAGGAGCCGGGGUUAAGGUUAGAAUUAGGGUUAAGGUUAGGAGCUAGGGUUCGUUUCAGGGUUAGGAGCCAAGGCUAAGGUUAAGGUUAGGAGCUAGGGUUCGUUUCAGGGUUAGGAGCCGGGGUUAAGGUUAGAAUUAGGGUUAAGGUUAGGAGCUAGGGUUCGUUUCAGGGUUAGGAGCCGGGGUUAAGGUUAGAAUUAGGGUUAAGGUUAGGAGCUAGGGUUCGUUUCAGGGUUAGGAGCCGGGGUUAAGGUUAGGGGAAAAUAUGAUUUUGAAAUGGACUGGGGUUCCCAUGUUGUGUUCUGUAAUAUCCUGCACAUUCUUCACUUUUUGCUGCACCAUAACGAGAUGAUGGUGUCCUGGUGAGGGAUGGCUUUCCACUUCUUCUCAUCAGCUCUGCUCUCAUGUGUCCCAAAUGGAGCCCUAUUCCCUACAUAGUGCACUACUGUGGUCCCUACAUACAGUCUUCAAGAACAAAAAUCUAUCUAGAAGCUAAAAGGGCUCUUCAGCUGUCCCCAUAGGGGGUACCCUUUGAAGAACCUUUCCGGUUCCAUGUAGAACCCUUUUGGGUUCCUUUCCACAUAGGGUUCUACACAGAACCCUAAAAAAAUAUUUAUAUAUAAUAUACCUGGAACCGUAAAGGGUUCAACCUGGAAGUGAGUGAGUAGAGUGGUUUACUUUAGCAGGGGCCAUGUCAAAGGUAAGAAAACAGCACUCCGGCCAAAGACCUCACUGAUUACGUAAUGGAGGCUGGCAGGAAUGCUGCUGACUCUCUGGUUUUACUGCCAAGACAAAUAGUUCCCUCCCAAAUUGUUCCCUAAAUAGUGCACUACUUUUGACUAGGGCCC
ensembl:lncRNA